GGCGUCCCCGCCCCCUGCUGGGCCUCUCUCCGCAGCCGCGAGACCCGCGCUUGGCGCAUAGGCCGGUUCUAAUUUACAAGAACACCGCGGCCUGAGGCCGGAGAGUCCCUUCAACCCGGGAGGCGGCGGCUGCAGGGAGCCGAGACGGCGCCAUUGCCCUCCAGCCUGGGCAAAAAGAGCGAAACUCCGUCUCAAAAAAAAAAAAACAUGGCCGAAACCAGGAAGCUGCGCGAUGGCGCCACGGCCCCUCUUCUCCCGGCCUGUGUCCGGAAGGUUUCCCUCCGAGGCGCCCCGGCUCCCGCAAGCGGAGGAGAGGGCGGGACGUGCCGGGGCCGGAGCUCAGAGGCCCUGGGGCCGCUCUGCUCUCCCGCCAUCGCAAGGGCGGCGCUGACCUGAGGCCUCCCCGCAAAGGUCCCCGAGGCGGCGGCGGCGGCGGGCUGUGAGAACCGCAGAAGAACGCUGGGCGCGCAGCGACCCGUCCACCCCCGCGAGGAGAGACUUCCACAGAGGCAGCGUUUCCACAGCCCAAAGCCACGUUUCUAGGGUGAUGCAGCCCCAGUAAGUUCCUGGCGGGGAAGCUCACGGCUGUCAAAAGAACUCUUCGCUCCAGCCGGCGCACGAAGGGGAGGAGGGCAGGAGGCUGCCGCCCGCACAGGUCAUCUGAUCACGUCGCCCGCCCUAGUCUGCUUUUGUGAAUCUCCACUUUGUUCAACCCCCACCCGCCGUCUCUCCCUCCCUGCGCCUUCCCUCUAACCUUAAAGACCCAGCUACCUCUACGCAAAUGGUAGCUACCUCUGCGCAGGUGGAAGUUGAGUUCGGUUCACGCGGGACCCUCUUCCCUGUGGCAAGCUGCUGAAGGAGACCUGCUGUUACUGCUUUAGCUGCUGUUCUGCUUAAUCUCAGACAGCUGGAAGGUAGUAUUCCGCCCUCGCCCAGCCACCCGAGUAAAUGAGAAUGAUGACUGACUGAGACCCUGAUGGUGGUGGCUUAGGCUUAAUCUCAGACAGCUGGAAGGUAGUAUUCCGCCCUCACCCAGCCACCCGAGUAAAUGAGAAUGAUGACUGACUGAGACCCUGAUGGUGGUGGCUUAGGCAAGAUGAACGUCUGAAAUGGAGGCCCAGGGCUGCCACGAUGGCUCUGUAGUCAUCAGGGAGGGAGCUCCUUUUAUCUUGUUACCUACUCCCCUCUUGUGCCCCUUUCUUCCCUUGAUCUAAGAAGGUUGCUCCGGAUCUCGCCAUCUGGCCUGCGUUCAAUCAGCAGAAGCUUCCUGGAGGAGCAGGAGGAGGCACUGUGCUCGCAUCACAUACCAGUGGCCAGAAGUUGGCUUCAGGGAAGCUCAGGAAAUAGGAUGCGAGAAGCCAUGAGACCUCCCCAAACUCUGCAGUAACAGAGUCAACAAGACAAUGGCUUAAAGAUGGAGAGACCAGUUGAUCGGUCACACAAGCUGUUCCACGAUAAUUCUUGUGUCAGAAGGGGAGGCUGACUACCAGGACCACUGGCCCCACUUCCAGCCCCUCCAUUCUGAGUACACUUCAGAGGGCUCUGGCAGGGUGAGGGGGUCUUGGUGGUGCCACAGAGAGUAAAGGUCUAGCACACCCAUUGUGGAGAUAUUUCAUGGGGACAACCCAGUGACUUCACUUGAAGUAAAGUGGGAUUUUCCAACCUUGA
ensembl:lncRNA HEIH hepatocellular carcinoma up-regulated EZH2-associated long non-coding RNA